ACCAGUCUCUAUCAGAGGGACAGUGCUGCUGUCAGCCUGAAUGAAGAGGUUUAUCCUGACAUCAACGUCAUCACAGGUCAGUCCCCUGUCCCCCUACACCAGUCUCUAUCAGAGGGACAGUGCUGCUGUCAGCCUGAAUGAAGAGGUUUAUCCUGACAUCAACGUCAUCACAGGUCAGUCCCCUAUCCCCCUAAACCAGUCUCUAUCAGCAUCAACGUCAUCACAGGUCAGUCCCCUAUCCCCUAAACCAGUCUCUAUCAGCAUCAACGUCAUCACAGGUCAGUCCCCUAUCCCCCUACACCAGUCUCUAUCAGCAUCAACGUCAUCACAGGUCAGUCCCCUAUCCCCCUAAACCAGUCUCUAUCAGCAUCAACGUCAUCACAGGUCAGUCCCCUGUCCCCCUAAACCAGUCUCUAUCAGCAUCAACGUCAUCACAGGUCAGUCCCCUGUCCCCAGUCUCUAUCCUGACAUCAACGUCAUCACAGGUCAGUCCCCUGUCCCCCUACACCAGUCUCUAUCCUGACCUCAACGUCAUCACAGGUCAGUCCC
ensembl:lncRNA